ACCAUGCACCGAAGCUGCGGCAGCGACACUGUGUGUUGUUGGGUAGGGGAGCGUUCUGUAAGCCUGUGAAGGUGUGUCGUGAGGCAUGCUGGAGGUAUCAGAAGUGCGAAUGCUGACAUAAGUAACGAUAAAGCGGGUGAAAAGCCCGCUCGCCGGAAGACCAAGGGUUCCUGUCCAACGUUAAUCGGGGCAGGGUGAGUCGACCCCUAAGGCGAGGCCGAAAGGCGUAGUCGAUGGGAAACGGGUUAAUAUUCCCGUACUUGGUGUUACUGCGAAGGGGGGACGGAGAAGGCUAUGUUGGCCGGGCGACGGUUGUCCCGGUUUAAGCGUGUAGGUGUGUGUUCCAGGUAAAUCCGGUUCACUUUAACACUGAGGCGUGACGACGAGGCACUACGGUGCUGAAGCAACAAAUGCCCUGCUUCCAGGAAAAGCCUCUAAGCAUCAGGUAACAUCAAAUCGUACCCCAAACCGACACAGGUGGUCAGGUAGAGAAUACCAAGGCGCUUGAGAGAACUCGGGUGAAGGAACUAGGCAAAAUGGUGCCGUAACUUCGGGAGAAGGCACGCUGACACGUAGGUGAAGUGAUUUACUCAUGGAGCUGAAGUCAGUCGAAGAUACCAGCUGGCUGCAACUGUUUAUUAAAAACACAGCACUGUGCAAACACGAAAGUGGACGUAUACGGUGUGACGCCUGCCCGGUGCCGGAAGGUUAAUUGAUGGGGUCAGCGCAAGCGAAGCUCCUGAUCGAAGCCCCGGUAAACGGCGGCCGUAACUAUAACGGUCCUAAGGUAGCGAAAUUCCUUGUCGGGUAAGUUCCGACCUGCACGAAUGGCGUAAUGAUGGCCAGGCUGUCUCCACCCGAGACUCAGUGAAAUUGAACUCGCUGUGAAGAUGCAGUGUACCCGCGGCAAGACGGAAAGACCCCGUGAACCUUUACUAUAGCUUGACACUGAACAUUGAGCCUUGAUGUGUAGGAUAGGUGGGAGGCUUUGAAGUGUGGACGCCAGUCUGCAUGGAGCCGACCUUGAAAUACCACCCUUUAAUGUUUGAUGUUCUAACGUGGACCCGUUACCCGGGUUGCGGACAGUGUCUGGUGGGUAGUUUGACUGGGGCGGUCUCCUCC
rnacentral:rRNA from 1 species